rnacentral:rRNA from 1 species
AGAGUUUGAUCAUGGCUCAGAUUGAACGCUGGCGGCAUGCUUUACACAUGCAAGUCGAACGGUAGGGUAGCAAUACCUGAGAGUGGCGAACGGGUGAGUAAUGCAUCGGAACAUGCCUAUUUGUGGGGGAUAGCCCGGCGAAAGCCGGAUUAAUACCGCAUACGAUCUAAGGAUGAAAGCUGGGGACCGCAAGGCCUAGCGCAAAUAGAGUGGCCGAUGUCAGAUUAGCUAGUUGGUGGGGUAAAGGCUCACCAAGGCAACGAUCUGUAGCUGGUUUGAGAGAACGACCAGCCACACUGGGACUGAGACACGGCCCAGACUCCUACGGGAGGCAGCAGUGGGGAAUUUUGGACAAUGGGCGAAAGCCUGAUCCAGCAAUGCCGCGUGCAGGAUGAAGGCCUUCGGGUUGUAAACUGCUUUUGUACGGAGCGAAAAGGCUUCUUCUAAUACAGGAGGCUCAUGACGGUACCGUAAGAAUAG